CUUCUCCAGGCAGGUUUGGCAGGCUUUCUUCGAGGACUCGGAAAUAGCGCUACGUUCCCCUUCUCCUUCAUUGUCAACAAGCAAGCAUCCCCAAACCACAAAAGGCAGCGCUUACAGAAGGAUGAACUGGAAGCCGAGUUGCUGAGGGAGCUCAUUACCAACUACAGCCAUGGUGCAGGAGCAAGACGCAUGCCCCUUUCUGUCCUUUGAAGUCUCCCAAGAUAUGAAGAAAGAAACAGUAGUUUUGAAAUAAGAAAGGAAAUCAUUUUGCAUUGCUGCGGGAAACUGCAGACACGGAGGACCUGUGCACCAGGAAGGAGAGAAGACUUCACUUGGUGCAAGUUUUAUAACCAGGAUUGGUCCUUGCCAUGGCAACCGGUGAUUUUUCUGGAUGGCAAACACAACAGGAAAGGACUGUCAUGAGUGUUGGAAAUACCUCGCUAAAAUAUAUGGCAAUAAUCCUGUAUGGAGAGGAACGUGUGUCGGAGAGCUGAUGCCAAGACUUCCUGCCCACGACGCUACCCAUGUCUGUUAAUUCGUGUGGAACAAAUGGGAAUAGCAAAAGAAACUCUAAAAGCAUCUAUAGGUCUAGACUGGGAGCUGAAAGUCUUAAUUCAUUCCAUAGUAGGCAACAGGACACAUGAUAAAGAACAUGUCUAAAAUACUGCGGGAGCAAAGAAUGAGAACCCUGGGGGAAACGUCCUGCUCCUUUUCCUUUUUAUCCUUCUACUUUUCUACCCCCAUGCCACUUUAUUCUCAUCCUGUUCACCCUACUUCUUUUUCUUCAAAACAAGGAUUACAUUAAAUUAUUCUAUGUCCACCAAGAAAUGUCAGUAUAAGCCCAGGCGGAUAGGAGCCCCUCUACAUGAACUGAGUCAGUCUGAGUUCAGUCCCCCUCCCCAGAUCACUCAAUCACGUCGGGCCAGCUUCUCUACCCAGGUGGACGGCUCGCCCGGCAUCUGUGGGUGAAACCAGUUUUUGAGAAAGUAAGUAGAACGGAAAUGCUACAAUAUUCGAAUGAGAGCAGGAAAACACCACUGGAUUUCACUUCAGCAGGCACCACCAGCUUACCCUUUGG